UACGGAGGGUGCAAGCGUUAUCCGGAUUCACUGGGUUUAAAGGGUGCGUAGGUGGAUUAGUGAGUCAGUGGUGAAAUCUCCGGGCUUAACCCGGAAACUGCCAUUGAUACUAUUAGUCUUGAAUACCGUGGAGGUCAGCGGAAUAUGUCAUGUAGCGGUGAAAUGCUUAGAUAUGACAUAGAACACCAAUUGCGAAGGCAGCUGGCUACACGAGCAUUGACACUCAGGCACGAAAGCGUGGGGAUCAAACAGG
rnacentral:rRNA from 1 species